rnacentral:rRNA from 1 species
UAGGGAAUCUUCCACAAUGGACGCAAGUCUGAUGGAGCAACGCCGCGUGAGUGAAGAAGGUUUUCGGAUCGUAAAGCUCUGUUGUUGGUGAAGAAGGAUAGAGGUAGUAACUGGCCUUUAUUUGACGGUAAUCAACCAGAAAGUCACGGCUAACUACGUGCCAGCAGCCGCGGUAAUACGUAGGUGGCAAGCGUUGUCCGGAUUUAUUGGGCGUAAAGCGAGCGCAGGCGGAAGAAUAAGUCUGAUGUGAAAGCCCUCGGCUUAACCGAGGAACUGCAUCGGAAACUGUUUUUCUUUGGUGCAGAUGAGGAGGGUGGAAUUCCAUGUGUAGCGGUGGAAUGCGUAGAUAUAUGGAAGAACACCAGUGGCGAAGGCGACUCUCUGGUCUGCAACUGACGCUGAGGCUCGAAAGCAUGGGUAGCGAACAGG